GUGGUUAAGUUCUCAAAGACCUUUGAGCUCAUUGCUCCCCUGUGCAACAUGGACCGUGACAUCAGCAUGGAGAAGCUGUCCUGCUCUGAUUGGCUGAUCAAUAACAGCAUUGCUGAGCUGUGGCGUCCACAGGACUGCCUGUCAACAUCAGCGACGUCUGUCAGGACCCCCGCUUUGAUGCUGAGGCAGAUCAAGCCUCAGGAUUCCACAUCAGAUCAGUACUGGUGUCCCCAUCUGGAAUCGGACUCAUCAGAUAAUAGGG